ACUUUCCAAAAUAGACCGCAACUAUUUCUAUUGCUCUGGAAGUAGCUUGUACCAGGCAACCCAUUUAGGAGCAGUUGGAUGAAGAGGAAGGAGAGGGAGAUGCUACUCAUUACAUCAGUGUUGGUCUUAUGGAUGCAAUUGUCACAGGUGAAUGGACAACAGGUAAUGCAAAUUCCUCAGUGCCAGCACGUACAAGAAGGAGAGGACUUCACCACGUACUGCAAUUCCUCAACUACUUUAAGCAAUAUACAGUGGUAUAAGCAAAGGCCUGGGGGACAUCCCGUUUUUUUGAUACAGUUAGUGAAGAGUGGAGAAGUGAAGAAGCAGAAAAGACUGACAUUUCAGUUUGGAGAAGCAAAAAAGAACAGCUCCCUGCACAUCACAGCCACCCAGACUACAGAUGUAGGAACCUACUUCUGCGCAGGGCACAGUGCUCCCCAAGCACCUGCUGCCUGUCUCCAAAUCUUGCCCUGGGUCUUCAGGAGCAGAUCAUCCUACUCUCCCCAAAGAGCAGGAGCCAGAGAAAGCCAAAGUCACAAUGUCUGUGAGGAUCUCUAGCGACUCCUCCCCAUGGCAGUAGGAAUGCAUGUAGAAAUUCACUCUGUUAAGACCUGGAAGAGUUUAGCAGUUUUAUUUCCUAAAACUUAACUGCCUGUUUUCUUCUACACAGGUGUCUCAAAGAAUUAUAAUUGUCUUAGGAAGAAUCGGUGGAUUUUAACAAAUUAUGAUACAGAUAUUUAUAUAAAACGUCUGAGUUCAUCUUUCAGUGCAGUGGUCCCCAACCUUUUUGGCACCAGGGACCGGUUUUGUUGAAGACAAUUUUUUCCAUAGAGCAGGGUGGGGUGAUGGUUUCGGGAUGAAACUGUUUACCUCAGAUCAUCAGGCAUUAGUUAGAUUACCUUAAGGAGCGAGCAGCCUAGAUCUCUCGCAUGCGCAGUUCGCAAUAGGGUUCGGGCUCCUAUGAGAAUCUAAUGCCACUGCUGAUCUCACAGGAGUCGGAGCUCUGGCAGUAAUGCUCACCUGCCGCUCACUUCCUGCUCUGCCGCCAGGUUCCUACCAGGCCACAGAACGGUACCGAUUCCCUGCCGCCAGGGGUUUGGGACCCCUGUUUGGGUGGUAGCAGAGGUUUCCAAGCAGUUUCUUUAAGGUUUUAGCUCAAUUGUAUUGCGGAAGAUUUGAAAAUUAAACAUUUGGCCGGGCGCGGUGGCUCACUCUUGUAAUCCCAGCACUUUGGGAGGCCAAGGCGGGCGGAUCACGAGGUCAGGAGAUCGAGACCACAGUGAAACCCCGUCUCUACUAAAAAUACAAAAAAAUUAGCCAGGCGUGGUGGCGGGCGCCUGUAGUCCCAGCUACUCGGAGAGGCUGAGGCAGGAGAAUGGCGUGAGCCCGGGAGGCGGAGCUUGCAGUGAGCCGAGACCGCGCCACUGCACUCCAGAGCCUGGGCGACAGAGCGAGACUCUGUCUCAAAAAAAAAAAAAAAAAAAAAAAAAAAAAGAAAAUUAAACA